CACGUGAGCAACCUGCCCCUCACUCUGGGAUAAGCGCUGGAAACGGCGUCUAAUACUGGAUACGAGUUGGAGCCGCAUGGUUACCAACUGGAAAGAUUUUUUGGUGGGGGAUGGGCUCGCGGCCUAUCAGCUUGUUGGUGAGGUAAUGGCUCACCAAGGCGUCGACGGGUAGCCGGCCUGAGAGGGUGACCGGCCACACUGGGACUGAGACACGGCCCAGACUCCUACGGGAGGCAGCAGUGGGGAAUAUUGCACAAUGGGCGGAAGCCUGAUGCAGCAACGCCGCGUGAGGGAUGACGGCCUUCGGGUUGUAAACCUCUUUUAUCAGGGAAGAAGCGAAAGUGACGGUACCUGCAGAAAAAGCACCGGCUAACUACGUGCCAGCAGCCGCGGUAAUACGUAGGGUGCAAGCGUUAUCCGGAAUUAUUGGGCGUAAAGAGCUCGUAGGCGGUUUGUCGCGUCUGCUGUGAAAUCCCGAGGCUCAACCUCGGGCCUGCAGUGGGUACGGGCAGACUAGAGUGCGGUAGGGGAGAUUGGAAUUCCUGGUGUAGCGGUGGAAUGCGCAGAUAUCAGGAGGAACACCGAUGGCGAAGGCAGAUCUCUGGGCCGUAACUGACGCUGAGGAGCGAAAGGGUGGGGAGCAAACAGGCUUAGAUACCCUGGUAGUCCACCCCGUAAACGUUGGGAACUAGUUGUGGGGUCCUUUCCACGGAUUCCGUGACGCAGCUAACGCAUUAAGUUCCCCGCCUGGGGAGUACGGCCGCAAGGCUAAAACUCAAAGGAAUUGACGGGGACCCGCACAAGCGGCGGAGCAUGCGGAUUAAUUCGAUGCAACGCGAAGAACCUUACCAAGGCUUGACAUACACCAGAACACCGUAGAAAUAUGGGACUCUUUGGACACUGGUGAACAGGUGGUGCAUGGUUGUCGUCAGCUCGUGUCGUGAGAUGUUGGGUUAAGUCCCGCAACGAGCGCAACCCUCGUUCUAUGUUGCCAGCACGUAAUGGUGGGAACUCAUGGGAUACUGCCGGGGUCAACUCGGAGGAAGGUGGGGAUGACGUCAAAUCAUCAUGCCCCUUAUGUCUUGGGCUUCACGCAUGCUACAAUGGCCGGUACAAAGGGCUGCAAUACCGUGAGGUGGAGCGAAUCCCAAAAAGCCGGUCCCAGUUCGGAUUGAGGUCUGCAACUCGACCUCAUGAAGUCGGAGUCGCUAGUAAUCGCAGAUCAGCAACGCUGCGGUGAAUACGUUCCCGGGUCUUGUACACACC
rnacentral:rRNA from 1 species